AACGAACGCUGGCGGCAGGCCUAACACAUGCAAGUCGAGCGAGGACUUCGGUCCUAGCGGCGGACGGGUGAGUAACGCGUGGGAACGUGCCCUUUGCUUCGGAAUAGCCCUGGGAAACUGGGAGUAAUACCGGAUGAGCCCUUUGGGGGAAAGAUUUAUCGGCGAAGGAUCGGCCCGCGUUGGAUUAGGUAGUUGGUGGGGUAAUGGCCUACCAAGCCGACGAUCCAUAGCUGGUUUGAGAGGAUGAUCAGCCACACUGGGACUGAGACACGGCCCAGACUCCUACGGGAGGCAGCAGUGGGGAAUCUUAGACAAUGGGGGAAACCCUGAUCUAGUCAUGCCGCGUGAGCGAUGAAGGCCUUAGGGUUGUAAAGCUCUUUCAGCUGGGAAGAUAAUGACGGUACCAGCAGAAGAAGCCCCGGCUAACUCCGUG
rnacentral:rRNA from 1 species